UAAUUUCCUCACAGGACGCAGCAUCGAACGGUCAAAUUUUGCUCCUGUGAUGAGAAGAAACGGUCUUUGAGGAGCGCCAAGGACCAUUUUGCUUCCUCUCUGAUCUGAGAUGAAUAGUUUGAGCAGUGAGCAUAGGACAUAGCAUUCAGACGGGAGCCUAAAUACUGGGAAACUACUUCAUUUUCAUCUUCCCAACUCUCCAAUUCCGUGGAGACCAUCGCCUCACCGGAUCUCUAGCUCUUCUGCCUUAUCUCACCGGCUGCGAAGAAGCUGGGAUGGAAGGAGAUCCGACUCGUUGCUGAAACUUUAGGAUUGGUCUCGGAGGCAUACGGUUGCUCCGGCGCGUCCCUUGCGAGGAUUUAUACAUUUUUUCAUACACAGGAAGUUGGCGGUGAUGAGAGGGAGCUGCUGGUGGUUGAAGUUGAAUCGCCGGGCAGAGCAUAAAUUCCGGCAACUCCUGAUUUCCUCAGUUAAAUCGGUGAAGAUCAAGCUUUUGCUCUGUUGUUGCAUUGCGUUCACGCUGUUCGUUCUCACCGGCAAGGCGUCCGCCUUCGUGGUGUGGUCCAAUCAGAAUCCUGUUUUCACUCCCUACUCUCCUUCAAGGAAAGGAUAUUCUAUUGUAAUGAACACAUGGAAGAGAUAUGAUCUCCUAAAGCAAUCCGUCAAGCACUAUGCAUCAUGUCCUCGGCUAGAAUCAAUACAUAUUGUGUGGAGUGAACCCAAUCCUCCUUCAGAUUUUCUUUUAAAGUUUUUACACCAUGUAGUUCAGUCCAACUCUAAAGAUGGGCGACACGUCAAAUUGAAGUUUGAUGUCAACAAAGAAGACAGUUUAAACAAUAGGUUUAAGGAAAUCAAAGAUUUAGAGACCGAUGCAGUCUUUUCCAUUGAUGACGAUGUCAUAUUCCCUUGCCCUUCUGUGGAAUUUGCAUUUGAUGUUUGGCAGAGUGCACCAGAUACAAUGGUGGGAUUUGUUCCCCGUGCCCAUUGGGAACAUUCAUCGGUAGGUGAUGGUGAUAAAUUUCAAUAUGGUGGGUGGUGGUCCGUGUGGUGGACUGGUACGUACAGCAUGGUGCUAUCCAAGGCAGCGUUCUUCCACAAAAAGUAUUUUAGUCUCUACACGAAUGAGAUGCCAGCCUCAAUUAGAGAAUAUGUGACCAAGAAAAGGAAUUGUGAAGAUAUUGCAAUGUCUUUCCUUGUUGCAAAUGCAACUGGGGCACCACCAAUAUGGGUGAAAGGUAGAAUAUUUGAGAUAGGAUCAACUGGAAUCAGCAGCCUGGGUGGUCACAGUGAAAGAAGAACAGAAUGCGUGAACAGAUUUGCUGCUGAGUAUGGAAAGAUGCCCUUGGUGUAUACUUCAGUGAAGGCUGUUGAUAGCCGCAACGUCUGGUUUUGGUGAUGCCUAUUUAGGUUUUUUCUUGGUAGCUUUAAAAAAAUUCCACGAUCCUGAGUUAGCUAGCUAUCUGUUUCUUAUUUUUAGUUCUGUAGUUUUAUGAUAUGAAAUCCCAUACGCAACUCACGAAUUUCUGUGGGGAAAGCUAGUAUGUCAAAUUCCUUUGAUUGAUUCAUUAUAUAAUUGACACCUAAUACUAGGGCCCUGCUGCUGCUGCUGCCAUCCUGGGGUGCUUUUUGUCUCCAUAUGUUAAAAGACAUUUCACUGACAUCAAUGAAAGCGAUGAGGCGUGUUGGUGAAACGUUGGAUAAUGUCAUAUCAAAGUCAAAACUCAACAUAACAUCUCGCAUCCGGGAUGCGGAUCAUAGGACUGGGUCGAAGCCGUUGGAGUUUUCCGAGGAAGGAGAACAAGUUCCUUGUUCGCUGGUGCUCCAAAUAAAACUAGCAUACUUGGACUUGUAAUGAGCGCUUUCAGGAUCAACCUCCAUUGCUUCUAGGGCAAGUAGGAAGACAGAUAAUCAGUAACCAGCAAUGUACCUCCUAGAAUCAAAUGGAUGAAGAAACUCGUGGUCGUGGAGUAAAGUAAAUUCAAUUUACAGAACUACUGCAAGAUGCCACUUCCUCCAUUUCUAAUAGGCAAUGACCAGCAGAGCUGUUGUCCUCUUAAGAUGGAAGAGAGCUAGAUAGAAUAUAGCAGAAGGGUUCUGAAAUACUCACUUGUCAACGUCAUGAUAAACAAGGUAGAGGAACUGUGCAUAGUUAGAAAGCAGAAGAGAGCUAUGAGGUGCCCAACUUAUGUGCUCUUUGUAGUAGAGCUCUGUUCUUUUAUAUUCCUCGUAUGCAUCUCCUUCAAGCUCCACAGACACAGGAGCUACCAACAUUUUCA